UUCAUACGUGGCAGAAUACGACGCGUAACACUUUGAAACACUGUUUUCGUUCCCUUACAGUAAGUUAGGCGGGAAGAGGCUGUCGACAGGCUCUUCGACAUAUUGGAAAGAACGGGAGUCAUGAACGCCUUCGAAGCCGCUUUACAACAUCUGGUUUCCGGGAAGGAGAUGGCCUCCGAUACAAACGCGGUUAUGAUCAGGAGCCUGGGGGGCUACGAGCCCGAUUACGUGGAGGUGCUGCUGGCCGAGCUUCGGUGUGAACGGGAACACGUCAA